ACUGCAGUCCUCAUGUCAUUGCUACGACUGUUCUCACAGAAGUGACUGAAGUCUGCCCACUUACGAGACUACUGGUUUCUCACUGUCUUACAGCUUCCCACGUCAGGAAACUCCUCUCAUCCCUCCUUCAGGAUAUUUGAGUGUCACCACGCAACGUGCACUGGAAAAUAUUCUUCUCUGUGUCUUUUAACCACUAGUAGAACAUCGAUCUUUCUUCUCAUCUCAGUAAUACCUGCCAUGGUCUACAUUGUGGAGGCACGAAUGUCUGAACAAACUCGGGAUGCUGUCAGCCAAAAGCUCUGUGCAAGAAGACCGGAUAGGAUGUCAAAGGUGUCCAUACCGCCUAGCUCAACAAUAGUCUAUCGGGAGGAUCCUCUAGAAGCAAUAGGGAUAUUGCUUGUGGCAUCUCCAUAUACAGUGCCACUAAACCAAAAAUGACUUCAGCCUAUUAAGCUGUUGUGCUUUUUCUUCUUGUUGUUGUUCUUUAGCUCAACAGCAAUAGGUGUCUAUUUGCCUCAGAAUGUUUUAGUCAUCUGUAAAAAUGUUUGUGUCCAUUUGGAUAUGUUUAUGUGCAUGCAUGCAUGCUUUUAGAGUUCAGGCCUCACGAAGGAUUCCCACAACUCUUUUAUUCUGUUCAUGGAAUCCUCAGAAAGUGGAAAGGGAGCACUGUAAAUCCUUAGUAACUCUUGGAAAAUGAAAACAACAAAAUUUCCUUUGGCCAAUCACUGAGACAACUGCAGGUUUUUAAUGGAAAAAAAUAGAGCCAGAAAACUCCCUAAACAAUGGUGAACUUGAAUUCUGAGCACUGUAGAAAAAUCAUACUUGCAUGAUUAAAGAUUAUGGAAACAAAAUAUAGGGA
rnacentral:lncRNA from 1 species